AGAGUUUGAUCAUGGCUCAGAACGAACGCUGGCGGCGUGGAUAAGACAUGCAAGUCGAACGCUAAUCAAGAGGUAGUAAUAUCUCUUGAUUGGAGUGGCGAAAGGGUGAGUAACACGUGGGUAAUUUGCCGUGAAGUUGGGGAUAACCCGCUGAAAGGCGGGCUAAUACCGAAUGUGGUGCUGAGCAGGCAUCUGCUUUUCACUGAAGUUGGGGACCGAAAGGCCUGACGCUUCACGAUAAGCCCGCGGCCUAUCAGCUUGUUGGUAGGGUAACGGCCUACCAAGGCUUAGACGGGUAGCUGGUCUGAGAGGACGAUCGGUCACACUGGAACUGAGACACGGUCCAGACACCUACGGGUGGCAGCAGUCGAGAAUCUUUCUCAAUGGGCGAAAGCCUGAAGGAGCGACGCCGCGUGGGGGAUGAAGGGUUUCGGCCUGUAAACCCCUGUCAUUCGUGAACAAACCUUUUCCGUAAACAGCGGAAGAGCUGAUAGUAGCGAAAGAGGAAGGGACGGCUAACUCUGUGCCAGCAGCCGCGGUAAUACAGAGGUCCCAAGCGUUGUUCGGAUUCACUGGGCGUAAAGGGUGCGUAGGCGGCAAGGUAAGUUCGGUGUGAAAUCUCCGGGCUCAACUCGGAAAUGUCAUCGAAAACUAUCUUGCUCGAGGGUCGGGAUGGGAGACUGGAAUUCUCGGUGUAGCGGUGAAAUGCGUAGAUAUCGAGAGGAACACCAGUGGCGAAAGCGAGUCUCUGGACGACCCCUGACGCUGAGGCACGAAAGCUAGGGGAGCAAACAGGAUUAGAUACCCUGGUAGUCCUAGCUGUAAACGGUGCACACUUGCCGUAAGAGGAUUCGACCCCUCUUGUGGCGAAGCUAACGCGUUAAGUGUGCCGCCUGGGGAGUACGGCCGCAAGGCUAAAACUCAAAGAAAUUGACGGGGGCCUGCACAAGCGGUGGAGUAUGUGGCUUAAUUCGAUGCAACGCGAAGAACCUUACCUGGCCUUGACAUGUAAGUAGUAGAAGCCUGAAAGGGUGACGAUCCCGCAAGGGAGGCUUACACAGGUGCUGCAUGGCUGUCGUCAGCUCGUGUCGUGAGAUGUUGGGUUAAGUCCCGCAACGAGCGCAACCCUCAUGUCUUGUUGCCACUCCCGCGAGAGCGGGAAGCACUCUAGACAGACUGCCUCGUCUAAACGAGGAGGAAGGUGGGGAUGACGUCAAGUCAGUAUGGCCCUUACGGCCAGGGCUGCACACGUACUACAAUGCCCGGUACAGAGGGAAGCAAGACCGUAAGGUGGAGCAAAUCCCAGAAAACCAGGCCCAGUUCAGAUUGUCGUCUGCAACUCGACGACAUGAAGUUGGAAUCGCUAGUAAUGGCGCAUCAGCUACGGCGCCGUGAAUACGUUCCCAGGCCUUGUACACACCGCCCGUCACAUCAUGAAAGCCGGCUGUACCCGAAGUCGCUGUGCCAACCCCGCGCAAGCGGGGGGGUAGGUGCCGAAGGUAUGGCUGGUGAUUGGGAUGAAGUCGUAACAAGGUAGCCGUA
rnacentral:rRNA from 1 species